rnacentral:rRNA from 1 species
AACGGCAGCACGGAGCUUGCUCUGGUGGCGAGUGGCGAACGGGUGAGUAAUAUAUCGGAACGUACCCUAGAGUGGGGGAUAACGUAGCGAAAGUUACGCUAAUACCGCAUACGAUCUAAGGAUGAAAGUGGGGGAUCGCAAGACCUCAUGCUCGUGGAGCGGCCGAUAUCUGAUUAGCUAGUUGGUAGGGUAAAAGCCUACCAAGGCAUCGAUCAGUAGCUGGUCUGAGAGGACGACCAGCCACACUGGAACUGAGACACGGUCCAGACUCCUACGGGAGGCAGCAGUGGGGAAUUUUGGACAAUGGGCGAAAGCCUGAUCCAGCAAUGCCGCGUGAGUGAAGAAGGCCUUCGGGUUGUAAAGCUCUUUUGUCAGGGAAGAAACGGUGAGAGCUAAUAUCUUUUGCUAAUGACGGUACCUGAAGAAUAAGCACCGGCUAACUACGUGCCAGCAGCCGCGGUAAUACGUAGGGUGCAAGCGUUAAUCGGAAUUACUGGGCGUAAAGCGUGCGCAGGCGGUUUUGUAAGUCUGAUGUGAAAUCCCCGGGCUCAACCUGGGAAUUGCAUUGGAGACUGCAAGGCUAGAAUCUGGCAGAGGGGGGGUAGAAUUCCACGUGUAGCAGUGAAAUGCGUAGAUAUGUGGGAGGAACACCGAUGGCGAAGGCAGCCCCCUGGGUCAAGAUUGACGCUCAUGCACGAAAGCGUGGGGAGCAAACAGGAUUAGAUACCCUGGUAGUCCACGCCCUAAACGAUGUCUACUAGUUGUCGGGUCUUAAUUGACUUGGUAACGCAGCUAACGCGUGAAGUAGACCGCCUGGGGGAGUACGGUCGCAAGAUUAAAACUCAAAGGAAUUGACGGGGACCCGCACAAGCGGUGG